GCAAUACUCCCUCCGUCCGAAAUACUUGUCAUUAUAAUUGAUAAAAAGAGAUAUAUCUAGAACUAACAUACGUCAGAUACACCCCCUUUUAUCCAUUUUGAUGACAAGUAUUUUCGGACGGAGGGAGUACAAC
rfam:Triticum aestivum genome assembly, contig: Triticum_aestivum_CS42_TGACv1_scaffold_147240_2BS